rnacentral:lncRNA from 1 species
CGGAUUCUAAGACAAACUACUCCUGAACUUCUGAAUAUUGCUAUAUAUACUGGAUACUGGAUACAUAUAACUUGGUGUAGCUCUAGUCAUAUAUGUAUUACGAAAUUAUAAAAUCAACCAAUAAGACAUUUUAGAAUCAACUGAAUUUCUAUUUCACAAUAAUGGAUCAUAAUUUUCAAAGAAUACAUAAGAUGAGUGUAUACCAAGUUACAUCAACAGCGCUCCUUCUAAUGGUGGUCAUUACAAUGAAUCCUACAUCCGCAACCAGUACAACAAUCACUGAUGCAUCGACAACAACUGGUGAACCCACUACAACCAUCACUAACGCAUCGACUACAACUGAUGAACCCACUACAACCGUAACUGAUGCAUCGACUACAACUGGUGAACCCACUACAACCGUA